GAGGGCGGUAGGCGUAGGUCGUGAUACGCUGUAGCAUGGGCACUACGAGCUUGAUUUUAUGUUACAAUCAAUGAAUUAAUUGAACGUAUAUUCGCUGGUGAGCAGAAAAUAAUCCAUUGAAGAGGACAAAGAACACUCAACAUGAUAAGCAUGAAUACAAUGAGCGUGAUGAUCAGUAUAUUACUGCUAUCACUGGCCCUUCACGCUUGCCAUGCAGAAAAUAACAGCACUAACACAACUGACGUCAUCUCGAAUCGCGCUGAUGGUGUGGUCAGAGAGCAGAUCUUACCUUUGGCAAUUCCACCACUGGAUUUAAAUAAACUUCAACAGGCAGCCAACACUGCAGGGGGACUAGGCUGGAUAUUAUGCCCAGCCAUCCAGGGGCUGCUGGACGCGUUCGACAAGUUUAAAGACAAGGCAGUGCUGGGUGUUGUGAUCGCCAUACUCGUGCUCGAGAUUAUUGCUGUGGCGCUCGUCGGCUACUUGAUCAUUAACAGCAAAAACAGCGCCGAAACGACACCAGAGUUCUACGCCGCCAUCCCGGUACCCGGAGCUGGACUCGGUGCACAGCGCCGUAGAUAUGAUCCCCACGCACCCUCAGAACUUUCCAUGGAUAAGGCCAUGGAAAACUUAUCUAAAGCACGUGAUGCAUACACGUAGUAGGGCAGAGGAAAAAUGAUUGAAAUCCUUGAGUUAUGUGGUAUUUGGUGUUGAAUCGUGAAAGUUAUGUAAGUAUUUAGAUCGUAUUUAUUAUAGAAUAGGUCAAUAUCGGUGUUUUAAAGUUUAAACCCACUUGUAUAAAAGACAUAAUAGCAGAGCGUAUGAUAGCACUUAUUAAAUACUGAUGAAACGAGAAUGUCUAUACUGUUUAGCUUGAACAACUCAAUUGCUCAUGUUCUCGUCAUUUAAAAAAAAAUAAUCAAUUAAAAGCACCAAUUAACUCGUUCCGUUCUGCCAACGAAAUCGAUUAGCGGGAAACAAAUUUUCUUGCAAAUUUAUGAUGUAUAACAUGUACGCGACGAUAAAGCAGCAUAGAAACGCAUUAUUUGUGCAGCUACGGACUGUUUCUAACCGCCAAGCCCACAUGCCUGCAUUUAUUAGAUUCAAAUACGACUUUUCUUCAUUAAUUGAAGGAUAUAAUUUCAUCUUCAGUCCUAAGUACAACACGCUUCCAAUCCGGUGAUGUCUGGCCUUGCGUAAUACAGCGAGAAGAAAGGAACGUAACCAGCCAUCGGAUAUGGACAGACAUCAUAAAUUGAGAAAUCAGGCUGAACGACAUCCUCUUCACCAAAAAGUUUCAAUUUCUGACGACUUACCUGCAUCGUUUCUACUGACGCUUCAAAUGCUGACAGCAGACUGACCUGGACCAUUUUUCUGAAGCGUCAACUGCUGAAAUCUGGCUAAUCUAAACCAUUUUACUAAAGCUUCAACUGCUAACGACUGACUGACCAGAACCAAUUUGCUGAAGCUUCAACUGCUGACGACUGACUGAGCAGAACCAUUUUACUGAAGCUUCAACUACUGACCUCUGACUGACAUGGAUCAUUUUACUCAUGCUUCAAGGACUGAUAUUUGACUGACCUGGACCAUUUUACUUAAGCUCCAACUGCUGACGUCUGACUGACACACUUCAUUUUAACAGGAUUUGAACAUGAUGUCUUUUGACUGAACUGUCACUCAGGGCUUUAAAACAAUUCCAAUAAAACCGAAAUUUAGAUACUGUGGCCAGCCGUGAUGUUAUGCCGUGUUGAUUAACUAGAGCUGUAGCACUGUGUGAUUUAUAACUGUUACUCAAUAUGUAUUAGAACUAACAUGAUAUGUGUUUUUAAAACGUUGCCUUGUGGGUAAUAGAAAAUCAUGAUGUACUAAAGUUGUUGGUAUAUGUGUAAUAGAACUUCUACUGUGGUUGUACUAGAAUUGUACAACCACAGUUAAUAGGAAUGCGACUGUGGUUGUUCUAGAGUUUUUGCUAUAUGUAUAAUAGGAAUGUUACUCCGUUUGGCUAGAAUAAUUGUUGCUAUGUGCGUAAUAGGAAUGCGAUUGUGGUUGUUCUAGAAUUUUUGCAAUAUGUAUCAUAAGAAUGUUACUCCGUUUGACUAGAAUUGUUGGUAUAUGUGUAAUAGGAAUUUACAACGUUUGUAAUAGUAUUAAUGCUUAUUGUGCAAAAGAACUGAUAUUAUAGGAGUACCAGAAGUGCCGCGAUGAGUAUGAGUUUAUUGUGGUAGUACCAAAACCGUAACUACCACGCAGUAAACCAAGCGUAAAUGGUAGCUACGUCAGUAAUAGUUUCCAAUGGUUGCAAACAGUUAUUUACAUUGUAUAGAACAUAGGAUUAAUCUAGGCAAUCGCAGGUAAGGUAAAAAAUGAAUAUUUAUUGAAAGUCGUGAUUUUUAUUCAUGUGAGUUGGUUUAUGAAUAUCAUGAAUUAAGUUCAUGAUUUCUGUUAGAUGAGAGUUUUUCCAUCCGCUACAAUUUUCAUACAGUUUUUCGCUAGGAAACAUGAAACAAGUUUCUGUCUGACUUAAUUAAGAAGCAUGCCGAUUUCGAAAAAAUUCCUCAUGAUCGAGGUAGACAAAAAAAAUAUUUUUGGUUCACUGUCAGAUCGUAAUUUUGUGAACAGUUCUUUUUCAUAAUAAGUGUUUUUUCCUAAUCAUUGUUUUGGCACUUCAUGAUUUAAACGUGGUUUUACCGCAACCAGCUAGCUACAUUCUUUGGACUGAUGACUUUGCUAAGCAUCAUAAACAAUAUUACAUUUUUCAGCCGGGGAAUACGGCACCGACUUCGACCAGAAGUUGAUAUGUUGGCCGACGUAUGAGUUUCGAUCUUUUCUUCUCUGUAGCUGGUAAUUAAGUUAAUUUUAUGUGUGGAGCAAGCGUUUUUCUAACGGUAGUUCAAUAGAAAUGUGGUACAUCGUACUUUCAAAUUACCAAUCAAUACUUUCAAAUGACUGAAAUACCGGUCUUACUGUCUGGAGUUUUUCGAACUGUAUAGACUAUUUACUUCGAUAAUAAUUUGUUGAUGCCAUUGGAUGUUCUCCCAUGCGAUGUCAUAUCAAUCAAGCAAAAAUCAUUGUUCAUGAAAGAAGGUCAUAAAAGUAAUGCAAAAUUUUGAUGGCAGGCCUGUCAUGCACAUUGGACGUUAAGUUCACCGAUCAAAUUUGAUUCUUCACUUAGCUGAAUGCUGUCACAAACAUGAUAAAACUUUAGAAAAAUAAUACUAAGCAUAUGACUUUGAUGUAGAGCCAAAAGCAAUGAUGAAAAUUUACCGAAAUUUAACACAGAAAAAUUCGAUUGAAAUUGGAUUGAAAAAUUAAAGUCCAAUUUCGCCUUAAAAAUUUAUAGUUUUUUGUCUGCAUCUAAAGCGUCUAUUUCGUCUGCAAAAAGGAGCGCCGCUAGUAGGCGAUAAGUGGACGAGUUAGCAUUUCUGGUGAUUGCCUUUCGUUUGCCGUGUCGCUGUAGUCGAUCAGAUGGAGAAUAUCGAGAUGCAUUACCUCUGUGGUUUGUCUUCUUACCUGCUCGCAUCUUCUAUUUCAAGCGAAUCGAUCAAUUGUGCUAUUGAAUUAUUUUGAGAGCGUGAAGUGAGAUGUUCGUUCCCAUUCGUGGGUAAAUUUUCACUAUCGCUCAAUGGACUUUGGCGAGAAAGAAAAGGUUCGUCGAGUAAUGAAUCUGUUUCGUGAUUGAAUUCUUUUGUAGUAUAAGACCUCUUAUGUAUUUCAUCGAUGAGUGGGAAAAUAGGAGUAGUCGUGAAGAAACUCGUGUCCUCACCUCUUCCUCCCCUGAGUGCGUCAAAGGGAAUAUCUUGCAUUCCGCCACCAAAAGGCCACUGAAGUAAUGGUGGAAUUAACGUAUUCGUUUCUCCGUUCCUCUCCCUAGUAACCGAUGCCUGCAUGGGCUCAUCGGGAAACCUUAAUCUCGGUCUAGGUUUGUGAUUAGUUGUACCAAAACGGGGUCCAACCAGCAAGUCCGGGACGACAUUGUGGGAGCUGAAGCCAUUGUUGUACGAACCUAACCAAGGUCCUGUGAAUAAUUGAGAAUUUUCAUUCCUCAGUCCAUUGGCGUAUGAACCGAACUUCGAUUCGUCAGACGGUGGCGAAGCGAUUGAACUCAAAUCAUUUAGGUGAGAACCUAAUCCCAAUUCAUCAAAGUACGACUGAAAAGCAUUGAAAUUUAAACCAUUUAGUUGUAAUCCUGGACCAAAAUUGGGCAAAGGCCCUGAAAAGUGAGGAAAACUCGAUUCCUCGGAAGGCAAAGGUGCGGGUUUGUGCUGUAAAAUUGGUCUUGCAGCUGUUGACUCAUGGAUCAAGUGUUGUUGUUCCUGUCGCCGGAGUUGUUGCUGUUGUUGCAGCAGAAUUCUCUGCAGUAAUUGUUGCUGCAGGAUUCUCUGUUGCUGUAUUAUCCAGCCCACAAGCAGAGGCUGUAAGAUGUUCAAGAUAACUCCUGACAGCAGAGAUCUAGAUCUUCCUCCUCGUUCGUGCACCAGUAGCUGCUCAGGCACGGCCAACCGGGCGGAGCGGACCGAUGCAUUUUUGAAGUUACUUUCUUCGAGUGGAGAUUGUGAUGAAAGUUCCGGUGUUGCAGGAGAAUCAUUUGCGUGCUCAUUGCUUGUAUUUUCACUCUGCAAAACAUGCAGAAAUGUAUCAUCAAUAUUAUAAAUUAUACAGUGAGUUUUGAAAAAA